rnacentral:tRNA from 1 species
GGUAGCUCAGGCGGUAGAGCAACUGACUUUUAAUCAGUGGGUCGAAGGUUCGAGUCCUUUCC